UCCGAGGUAGCUCAGUGGCAGAGCAACUGGCUGUUAACCAGUGGGUCGUGGGUUCGAAUCCCACCCUCGGAGCCA
rnacentral:tRNA from 1 species